rnacentral:rRNA from 1 species
CGUGUAGGCGGUUAGGCAAGUCAGGUGUGAAAUCCCUUGGCUCAACCAAGGAAGUGCGCUUGAAACUGCUUAACUAGAGUACAGAAGGGGAAAGUGGAAUUCCCAGUGUAGAGGUGAAAUUCAUAGAUAUUGGGAGGAACACCAGUAGCGAAGGCGGCUUUCUGGCCUGAUACUGACGCUGAGACGCGAAAGCGUGGGGAGCAAACA